rnacentral:rRNA from 1 species
UACGAAGGGGGCUAGCGUUGCUCGGAAUCAUUGGGCGUAAAGAGCGUGUAGGCGGCCCGGUAAGUCCGCUGUGAAAGUCCAGGGCUCAACCCUGGGAUGCCGGUGGAUACUGUCGGGCUCGAGUCCGGAAGAGGCGAGUGGAAUUCCUGGUGUAGCGGUGAAAUGCGCAGAUAUCAGGAGGAACACCAAUGGCGAAGGCAGCUCGCUGGGACGUGACUGACGCUGAGACGCGAAAGCGUGGGGAGCAAACAGG